GAUGAACGCUGGCGGCGUGCUUAACGCAUGCAAGUCGAACGGUGAAGCAGGAGCUUGCUCCUGUGGAUCAGUGGCGAACGGGUGAGUAACACGUGAGCAAUCUGCCCUGGACUCUGGGAUAAGCGUUGGAAACGACGUCUAAUACCGGAUACGAGGCGUGGGGGCAUCCCCAACGCCUGGAAAGAACUUCGGUCCAGGAUGAGCUCGCGGCCUAUCAGCUAGUUGGUGAGGUAACGGCUCACCAAGGCGACGACGGGUAGCCGGCCUGAGAGGGUGACCGGCCACACUGGGACUGAGACACGGCCCAGACUCCUACGGGAGGCAGCAGUGGGGAAUAUUGCACAAUGGGCGCAAGCCUGAUGCAGCAACGCCGCGUGAGGGACGACGGCCUUCGGGUUGUAAACCUCUUUUAGCAGGGAAGAAGCGAAAGUGACGGUACCUGCAGAAAAAGCACCGGCUAACUACGUGCCAGCCGCCGCCGUAACAC
rnacentral:rRNA from 1 species